UACAACUUUCAACAAUGGAUCUCUUGGCUCUGGCAUCGAUGAAGAACGCAGCGAAAUGCGAUAAGUAGUGUGAAUUGCAGAAUUCAGUGAAUCAUCGAAUCUUUGAACGCACAU
rnacentral:rRNA from 1 species